rnacentral:rRNA from 1 species
GGCUCGCCGCCUCCGCCCGGUUGCGCCUCGCGCGCCCGGCUCGGUGCGCUCGCGACCCGCCCCCAUCCGGCUCCUCCUCUGGCCGGCUUCGCCCGCCCGCCUACUGGCGCGUCAGCGCCCUCAUCACCUCCCGCGCCGACCCCCCGCGUCGCCGUGCCGCCUGCCUGCAUCCCGGACUCCUCCGUCCGCGUGCUGGCCUACAUCGCCCCGCACACCCGAACGCCGACUCCUGCGCCGCGCCGGCUCCACGCGUGCCCGCGUUGCCGGCCUGCCGCCUUCCACGGGCUCCUCCUCCACGGUGCCGUCCGUGCCGACUGCCCCGCCCAUGCGCGCCAGCCUCCACGACCAGCCUCCCGCGCGGCCCAGUCCGGCUCUGCCCGGCCGGCUUCACCCGAGUCACAGCUCCCGUACCGACUCCUCCGCACCGGCUCGUCCGGCUCCGUCCGGCUGCUCCGCCUCAACCGCCCGCAUGCCGGCUGGCCGAGGCCGGCUCCAGCUCCGCGCGCCUGCAUCCGGCCCCAGGGCCGGCCAUCCCGUGCUGGCCUCCACUCCCUCGCGCCGCCUCGUGCCGGCCUCCGCCCCGCCGACCUCCGGGUCGGUUCCGUCCAUGCCUCAGCACCUGCCCCGCCUCGCGGCCUCCUCCGCCUGCGCGCCCCGUGGUCGGCUGCGCCCCGCGUCGGCUCGCGCUUGCGUGGGCCGCUUCCCGCCUUGGCCGUGGGCGGUGGCCUUCGCUGGCCGGCUGCCCAGAGGGCAGAGAGGGGGGGGGCGGCUAGAGCCUAGAAGAGGCCGGCUGAUUAUCCCUUGUCGACUGGUAAAAGAGAGAAAAGUCAACAGCUGCUUCAUGCGGAGAUACAGAAAAAAUGUGUGUGUGCAUCCGGCUUCCCAGAGCCGGGUGAAGAAAAGGCCGGGUGCCCAUGGCCGACUGGCAGAGAAAAGUCACGCCGGGUGCCCAGCCGGCUUACUGAAAAAAAGGAGGAUCCGACUUUGCAGACUGCAGUCAAGCCGACUACUCCGGUCAACAGCCCACGUUGCCGCUGGGCUGACUGGUUCGUCUGCCCGCUUCACUGCCUGGCCGACCGAGGAGUCGAUCCAUCUGAGCACAGCCGACUGAUGAGGAAAAAAGAAGAAGACAAAGUAGUUGCCGGGAGAUCCGGCCCGACUGCUCAGCAUUCGGCCCGAAUCUCGGGGGCUACACCCAGCGGGUGCGCUGACGCGCCCCCGCGAAGAAGAAGACAAAGUAGUUGCCGAGAGAUCCGGCCCGACUGCUCCGCAGUCGGCCCGAAUCUCGGGGGCUACACCCAGCAGGUGCGCUGACGCGCCCCCGCGAAGAUUGCAGACAAGAGAAGAGUUUUGUCCGGCUCCGAGCAGCCGGCGGAAGAGAAGAAGAAGAAGAUAGGCGCUGCAAGAUGCAUCGCCGACUGGCCGGUCGAGCCUGACUGGCCAGGACCCCUUCGAGCACCCGGAGGCUCAACCUCUGUCUCAACUACACGAAAAUCAGUGUGAGCUCCUCACCCGCAUAUUUUUUGCACCACAAGAGCAUGGAUAACCCCGAGUGAUGCUCGGGGGCUAUCUUCACAUUUUAAUUACAGUUGCAUCACUGUUUGCCCCAGCGCCAGCCAGAGUUGGCCCGAGGGUUGGCCGCUUGGCCUGAGAUGUUUGUCCCCGCAGACGGCUUAGUAGCGUGCACGGUACCAAAGGCUCACUCUUAGUCACAAACCGCAUAGCGGCUGUCCGGCUAGCAAGAGUGAGCGCUGGAGGCCACCCACGCGAAAAACGUCCGGGAAGAAAAAUGGUUCGGGCGACCCGGCCGUUUUCCUUUACAAGUAUCUACUCGGUUGAAUCUGCUCCCAGACUCUGAGUACUGUACACUCCACUUCGCGGCCCACUCUCAGCCACAGAACGCAGAGCGGCUGUCCGUCGAGCGAGAGCACAAGCCAAAAAGCGGAGAGAACAUGAAAAAGAUUGAAGGGGGCUCGGACGAAACUGAGUCGACACCCUCCGCAUAAAACUUGCAAUGCUAAAAGCAAACAUUUGAUAUAUCUGCAUGGACUAACUUUGUCUUUUUUCUUGACAAUUUCCAUGAACACUCGCCAAAAAACCUCCGCCCAACUUUGCCAAGUUGCCCGGAGGCUUGGGGGCUACUGUCGGAGUAAUCGACCACGGGUACCCCGAGGACGGCAAGACGAUAUUUCAAGACAUCGGGGCUAGCAAAGCCCCUCAGUCCGACUGCCAGGCUGCUCCUGCCGGCUCCCCGUCCGACUGUUCUACCCGGCCGGCUGCCGACUAUGCCAACCAGCCUGCCUGCCGACUACGCCAACCAGCCUGCCUGCAGCCCAACCCGACACCGACAAGACACCGACGAGACGGCCAUACCGCGGACAAGACAACCGUACCGCGACGACAUCAUGUACAGUGUCACUUGUCCCCUGGCACUAUUUAUGAAGUGACCCAAGGGACAAGCAUGACAUGCACCAUGCCUUGUCCAUGCCACUACAUAGCUUAGGAAGUAAGCUAGCCCACACUAUAAAAGGGGCACACAUCCAUCCAUCCACUCACUCACGCCACAUUCAUUUGGCCACAAGGCCACUCACGGCCACAAGCCCUGGCCAUACUUGGCCACUAGAGCCAGCCAUACGCAUGCAUAUACGAGAUCAAAUGCCCCUGGCAUUGAUCUCAGAUACAGCUCCAGGAGCACUUUGUACCAGAUAUAUCAUAUAUACUCAGACAUGCAGGAGUACGGGUAUUAUCUCUCCGGAGAGCCCCGAACCUGGGUAAACUAGCGCGUGCUACUCGCAUACCCGCUCCCGGUCCUAUCAACAGCAGUCUUACCCUCACACUAAGUCCUUGUGGCAUCUGUCGACUCGCAAGCCCCCCGUGAGAAUACCACGACAGGGAUACCGACGAUCGGAUCUCAGGCAAGUAACAUACCGAUAGGCAAAGGGAUUGUAUACAGGAUUGAUUGAAUCCCCGACAUCAUGGUUCAUCCGAUGAGAUCAUCGUGGAACAUGUGGGAGCCAAUAUGGGUAUCCAGAUCCCGCUAUUGGUUAUUAGCCGGAGAGAUGUCUCGGUCAUGUCUGCAUGGUUCCCGAACCCGUAUGGUCU